rnacentral:rRNA from 1 species
AUUUCCCGCGGUAAUUCCAACGCCAAUAGCGUAUAUUAAAGUUGUUGCAGUUAAAAAGCUCGUACUUGAAUUUGGGAUCAAUAUUUCGGUCAUGCCGUUGGUAUGCACUGUUAUCAUUGAUUUCUCACCUUCUAAAGAACCGUAAUGCCAUUAAUUUGGUGUUACGGGGAAUUAGGACUGUUACCUUGAAAAAAUUAGAGUGUUUAAAGCAGGCUCACGCUUGAAUACAUUAGCAUGGAAUAAUGAAAUAGGACAUCCGAUUCUAUUUUGUUGGUUUCUAGGAUCGAUGUAAUGAUUAAUAGGGAUAGUUGGGGGCAUUAGUAUUCAAUUGUCAGAGG